rnacentral:rRNA from 1 species
UACAGAGGUGGCAAGCGUUGUUCGGAAUUACUGGGCGUAAAGGGCGAGUAGGCGGCCUUCUAAGUCAGACGUGAAAUCCCCCGGCUUAACCUGGGAACUGCGUCUGAUACUGGGAGGCUCGAGUAUGGGAGAGGGAUGUAGAAUUCCAGGUGUAGAGGUGAAAUUCGUAGAUAUUCGCAAGAACACCAGUGGCGAAGGCGGCUCACUGGCCCGUAACUGACGCUGAGGCACGAAAGCGUGGGGAGCAAACAGG